UCAGCAGGUCCCCGUCAGGGCAGGGUGUGUUUCAUCACUGCCCUUAUUUCAGAACCAGAUUUGACUGGGGACAGUAUCUGUGUUGAUGAUGGGGAGGUGACAUACACAGACAGAUUUUCAUUCAUUUAACUACACCAGCAGUGACUCUGGCUUGCAGCAAGUAAUCUUUCUUUUUUUUUUUCUCCAGCAUAAGCAUCUUGGACCCACGUGCAUCUUUGCUGUUCGUUUUGGGCUGGUGAAUGGAAAGAAGAGCUGAAGAUGUGCUAAAGAUGAGAGUCUGUGUCAGAGAACACAAAAUAGCACGAUCUGGGCUGUCACUUCUGGUGCAAUGGUUAAAAGCUGCUGAACGGCACAUCCUCUGGCCACCCAGCCCUUCCUGUGUGGGUCCUCUCCAUGCCCACAAGCACCAGGUCAAGCGGCAGGUCUUCCCCUGCUGUGACAGGGUGAACUACACCCACGGGCAGGUGAUUAAAAAAUCUGCCUUGCUGACCCUUGCUGGCCUUGCACGUCACCCUUCCCGAUUCCCGGAAAGCCUCGUGCCUUUGCCCGCUCUGUAAUCUUCAGCCCACGCAGCUUGAGCUUCCUCAGCGCUUCACCGCCAGCCACAGGGCCACCGGCAGCUCUUAACCCUCACAGCUACAGGACCUGGUCCCGAAAAACCUCAUCGGCUUUUACGUUGCGCAACCAGAGAGGUUCCAUGAGGAGGCACGAGACACGCAUCGCGCUCUCAGAGGAUGAGGAUUUCACGGCUGCGUGCCUACCGGAGCUUUCACUCUGUAAAGCUUGUUGUACUUGUCUCAUUGCAUCGCUUACAACAUCCCUUUGGAAAUUCAAAAGCUUAGGGAAUGAACCAAAGGAAAAAGCUAAACAAUUAUCUCAAUUACACCAGCGUAACCCUGAGGAUGUUAAUUUACAUUUAUAUCCUUUUAACAAUCCAAAUUAGGUUCAGAAUGAGAAAAUUUGAGUUUUCUCUGUAAAGGGAAAUUAAAAAUCGGCAGGUCAUGACAAUAAUCAAUAUGCCAAUAUUUACUGCAAAUUUAAAUCUUAUCAAGAGCCUCUAGGGAGCCUCUUGCUUUAGUUUCAUACAGUUCCAAGCAUUUCUCUGUCAGAAGAUAGUUUGCAGGAGCUAGCAAAUAGAAAAUUCAGACACAAUUGACUUUUUA